GUCGCGGAAAAGCCUAAUGCAUAUAUGAAAUGAUCAACCGAAGGGCAAUUUAUCAGCAUCCCAGAAGUGUACUCAAAAAAGUGUAACACCAAAAAAAGAGAUACAGGAUAGAAGCCGAAACAAAAGGAAAAACGCCAACAACUAACAACCCGACAACAGCAAUAACAAUUUGUCAAGAACGCACACACAUAUGCAGAUACACCACACACACACAAACACACACACACACACACACGAACACGUACACAAACACAUAUUAAAAG
rnacentral:lncRNA from 1 species